GUGCUCACUUCGGCAGCACAUAUACUAAAAUUGGAACAAUAUAGAGAAGAUUAGCAUGGCCCCUGCGCAAGGGAUGACAUGCAAAUUCGUGAAGCAUUCCAUAUUUUU
ensembl:snRNA U6 U6 spliceosomal RNA